rnacentral:rRNA from 1 species
CCUACGGGAGGCUGCAGUGGGGAAUAUUGCACAAUGGGGGAAACCCUGAUGCAGCAACGCCGCGUGAGUGAUGACGGCCUUCGGGUUGUAAAGCUCUGUCUUCAGGGACGAUAAUGACGGUACCUGAGGAGGAAGCCACGGCUAACUACGUGCCAGCAGCCGCGGUAAUACGUAGGUGGCGAGCGUUGUCCGGAAUUACUGGGCGUAAAGGGAGCGUAGGCGGAUUUUUAAGAGAGAUGUGAAAUACUGGGGUUGAACUUUAUUGCUGGAUUUCAAACUGGAAAUCUAGAGUGCAGGAGAGGAGAAUGGAAUUCCUAGUGUAGCGGGGAAAUGCGUAGAGAUUAGGAAGAACACCAGUGGCGAAGGCAAUUCUCUGGGCUGUUACUGACGCUGAGGCUCGAAAGCGUGGGGAGCAAACAGGAUUAGAUACCCGAGUAGUC